rnacentral:rRNA from 1 species
CAACAUGCGUGCGAGUCUUGGGGUGGCAAACCCAUCGGCGCAAUGAAGGUGAAGGCAGAUUUUGGUCUGCUCAGGCAGGAGCCUCCCUGGAGGCACACUGUCGACCGAUCCCAGGCUACGCUGUGGCGGGAUUUGAGUAAGAGCGUGCCUGUUGCGACCCGAAAGAUGGUGAACUAUGCCUGAAUAGGGUGAAGCCAGAGGAAACUCUGGUGGAAGCUCGUAGCGAUUCUGACGUGCAAAUCGAUCGUCAAAUUUGGGUAUAGGGGCGAAAGA